CCUACGGGGGGCUGCAGUGGGGAAUAUUGGACAAUGGGGGCAACCCUGAUCCAGCCAUGCCGCGUGUGUGAAGAAGGCCCUCGGGUUGUAAAGCACUUUCAGUGAGGAAGAACGCCUGGUGGUUAAUACCCAUCAGGAAAGACAUCACUCACAGAAGAAGCACCGGCUAACUCCGUGCCAGCAGCCGCGGUAAUACGGAGGGUGCGAGCGUUAAUCGGAAUUACUGGGCGAAAGCGCGCGUAGGUGGCUUGAUAAGCCGGUUGUGAAAGCCCCGGGCUCAACCUGGGAACGGCAUCCGGAACUGUCAAGCUUGAGUGCAGGAGAGGAAGGGAGAAUUCCCGGUGUAGCGGUGAAAUGCGUAGAUAUCGGGAGGAAUACCAGUGGCGAAGGCGGCCUUCUGGACUGACACUGACGCUGAGGUGCGAAAGCGUGGGUAGCGAACAGGAUUAGAUACCCUUGUAGUC
rnacentral:rRNA from 1 species